rnacentral:rRNA from 1 species
GAUGAACGCUGGCGGCGUGCCUAAUACAUGCAAGUCGAGCGAACAGACGAUGAGCUUUUUCUUCUGCCGUUAGCGGCGGACGGGCGAGUAACACGUGGAUCACCUUCUUCUUAUACUUGGAUGACUUCGUGAAACCGGUGCUACUACUGGCUCAUAUAUUGAACCGCAUGGUUCAAUAGUUCAUGACGGCUUUCCUGUCUCUUUUAGCUGGUUUCGCGCCGCAUUAGCUAGUUGGUAAGGUAACGGCUUACCAAGGCAACGAUGCGUAGCUGACCUGAGAGGAUGAUCGGCCACACUGGAACUGAGACACGGUCCAGACUCCUACGGGAGGCAGCAGUAGGGAAUAUUGGGCAAUGGGCGCAAGCCUGAUGGAGCAACGCCGCGUGAGUGAUGAAGGUCUUCGGAUCGUAAAGCUCUGUUAUUGGGAAAGAAAAAAAGUGGAAGAAAAUAUGGAUGUCUUGACGGUACCUAAACAGAAAGCACCGGCUAACUACGUG